GUCGAGAAUUUUUGACAAUGGGGGAAACCCUGAUCGAGCGACGCCGCGUGGAGGAUGAAGGUCUUCGGGUUGUAAACUCCUGUCAUUUGGGAACAAGGCGCACGUAUUAACUGUGCGUGCGUUGAUAGUACCAGAAGAGGAAGGGACGGCUAACUCUGUGCCAGCAGCCGCGGUAAUACAGAGGUCUCAAGCGUUGUUCGGAUUCAUUGGGCGUAAAGGGUGUGUAGGUGGCGCCGUAAGUCGGGUGUGAAAUUUCGGAGCUUAACUCCGAAACUGCAUUCGAUACUGCGGUGCUUGAGGACUGGAGAGGAGACUGGAAUUUACGGUGUAGCAGUGAAAUGCGUAGAUAUCGUAAGGAAGACCAGUGGCGAAGGCGGGUCUCUGGACAGUUCCUGACACUGAGACACGAAGGCCAGGGGAGCAAACGGGAUUAGAUACCCGAGUAGUCC
rnacentral:rRNA from 1 species